rnacentral:lncRNA from 1 species
UAUGUGCUGGAACCUAGCUUUCAAUCCUGGGUCUGAGGUCUUCUGAAUAAUUCGCUCGGCAUCUGGGCAAGUUAAGACGAGAUCGAUUGUAUCUUGACAUGCUUUCGACAAACCAUAUAGAUCGUUAACCGAAUGCUUUUUAUGAAACUCUCGCAUAUAUUCCAAGGCCUCCCCGAGGAAUGGUGGAUGUAAAUUCCGUCGAAUUUUGAUCAAAGGUUCUUGUGGGGUUGGCGGG